GAAACUACCAAGGAUUCCCCUAGUAACUGCGAGUGAAGCGGGAAAAGAUCAAAUUUAAAAUCUGGCGGUCUUUUGGCUGUCCGAGUUGUAAUCUAGAGAAGUGUUAUCCGCGCUGGACCGUGUACAAGUCUCCUGGAAUGGAGCAUCAUAGAGGGUGAGAAUCCCGUCUUUGACAUGGACUGCCAGGGCUUUGUGAUGCGCUCUCAAAGAGUCGAGUUGUUUGGGAAUGCAGCUCAAAAUGGGUGGUAAAUUCCAUCUAAAGCUAAAUAUUGGCGAGAGACCGAUAGCGAACAAGUACCGUGAGGGAAAGAUGAAAAGAACUUUGGAAAGAGAGUUAAACAGUACGUGAAAUUGCUGAAAGGGAAACGCUUGAAGUCAGUCGUGUCAUCCGGGGAUCAACCUUGCUUUUGCUUGGUGCACUUUCUGGUUUGACGGGUCAGCAUCAAUUUUGACUAUUGGAAAAAGGUCAAGGGAAUGUGGCAUCUUUGGAUGUGUUUAUAGCCCUUGGUCACAUACAAUGGUUGGGAUUGAGGAACUCAGCACGCCGCAAGGCCGGGUUUUGAACCACGUACGUGCUUAGGAUGCUGGCAAUAUGGCUUUAUCGACC
rnacentral:rRNA from 1 species